GGUCAAGCUAAUCAGAGCUGACGGUGGAUACCUAGGCACA
rnacentral:rRNA from 1 species